AGCGAACGCUGGCGGCAGGCCUAACACAUGCAAGUCGAACGAAGUCUUCGGACUUAGUGGCGGACGGGUGAGUAACACGUGGGAACGUACCUUUUGGUUCGGAACAACUCAGGGAAACUUGAGCUAAUACCGGAUGAGCCCUUAGGGGGAAAGAUUUAUCGCCGAAAGAGCGGCCCGCGUUAGAUUAGCUAGUUGGUGAGGUAAAGGCUCACCAAGGCUACGAUCUAUAGCUGGUCUGAGAGGAUGAUCAGCCACACUGGGACUGAGACACGGCCCAGACUCCUACGGGAGGCAGCAGUGGGGAAUCUUGCGCAAUGGGCGAAAGCCUGACGCAGCCAUGCCGCGUGAAUGAUGAAGGUCUUAGGAUUGUAAAAUUCUUUUACCAGGGACGAUAAUGACGGUACCUGGAGAAAAAGCCCCGGCUAACUUCGUGCCAGCAGCCGCCGCCG
rnacentral:rRNA from 1 species